GCUUACGACCGAGGAAGGCAUCCUGAAUAUGCCAAAUUUUAACAGAUCUCGGAAGCUAAGCAGGGAUUUGAGCCGAGUGAAUGGUCCGAUCGGAGACUGCCUGGGAAUACCAGGUGUUAUAGGCU
rnacentral:rRNA from 1 species